rnacentral:tRNA from 1 species
GAGGGUACAGCUCAGUGGUACAGUGCAUGCCUAGCAGGCACGAAGUCCUGGGUUCAAUCCCCAGUACCUCCA